rnacentral:rRNA from 1 species
AAUAUUGGACAAUGUGCGAAAGCCUGAUCCAGCCAUGCCGCGUGUGUGAAUAAUGUCUUCGGAUUGUAAAGCACUUCAUGUUGGGAGGAAGGGGUUGAAGCAACUACCUUCAAUCUUUGACGUUACCAAUAGAAGAAGCACCGGCUAACACUCUGCCAGCACCCGCGGUAAUACGAAGGGACCAAGCGUUAAUCGGAAUUACUGGGCGUAAAGCUCGCGUAGGUAGUUCAGUAAGAUGGAAGUGAAAGCCCCGGGCUUAACCUGGGAACUGCUUUCAUAACUGCUGAGCGAGAGUACGGUAGAGGGUAGUGGAAUUUCCUGUGUAGCGGUGAAAUGCAUAGAUAUAGGAAGGAACACCAGUGGCGAAGGCGACUACCUGGACUGAUACUGACACUGAGGUGCGAAAGCGUGGGGAGCAAACAGG